rnacentral:lncRNA from 9 species
GAGCUGUGAGUGGUCACCUAAAGAUGCUCAGAGGUUAAGGGCUCUCUCAGGAGCCAGCAGGGAGCAUGGCCAGGCCCAAGAGAUGGAACUGUGCUGUCUGAAGCAAGAGAAUAAAAAGACUACAAGGAGGCCAGUUUAGACCUGAUUGAAGAAAAGAUUGCCAGGUGCCAUCAAGUGUGACCUCCUAAGAAAGCAGUGUCCUCCUGGGGAUCAGCAGCCCCAAAGUGGAUGCUGUUGGCUUAGAGACUGUAAAUGGCAAGACCAACGUGCUGGGGUGACCGUGUCCUUGUUCUGAGGUCAAGUCCAAGUGGUGACCGGGACCUUCAGUUCUCUGUGUGUGGAUUUGACUGACCUCAGGUAACUGUCCUUGGGUGAACUCACUGGCAGUUUUUUCGGAACUGGUGAUAAGCUUGGCAUAGCUGACACAGGCUGGAAAGGAUUCC